rnacentral:lncRNA from 1 species
CAGGGAAAGGAGCGGGCCCGGCUGUCAGCCAACACAAGGAGGAGGAGAUGCGGCGCGCGCGGGGGCGAGCUGGGCCGCUCGCUGGGCCGAGUGAAGGGGGAGAGGCAAGCAGGCUAGGGAGGGGAAUGGGCCUCGGCCAGACCCAGGGGUUGUUUCCUUCUUUUUGUUUUCUUUUCUUUUCUUUUCUAUUUUCUUUUUCCAAAACAUUUUCCAAAUAGAACUCUUGAAAGCAAUUAAAUUCUAAUCAAAAGUCUCCCAGCACGAAAUAAAAUAUGCUCCAGCAUGAAAUGCAAAAUCACGUUUCUAAACUUAUGAUGGAUUUUAAUUUUCACCAAAUUAUUUAUUUGCUAGAUUCAAAUGCUAACAAAAAUACUUAAAUAAAGCCAAUUAAAUCCUAUUAAUUCAAAAGCAAAAUUUGGGUGUUACAAAUUCUACCCCCCUUAAAAGAAUCUCGUCCUCGAGAUUGAGCAGAACUUACUCAAACAAAUAUGAAUAUGAUUUUCUCAGAUCAUCCUCUCUUUCCCAAGUUGCCUCUGCUUCCGAAUACCGAUUCCACUGCACUUUGCACAUUCUAAUAACCCAACUUCUGGUGACUCUCUCAGCUGUCUCCAAAAUUCUGACCGGAUACUCUUCAUAAGUG